rnacentral:ncRNA from 1 species
CGGGGCGCAAGAUCACUUGCAGACGACUUGAUUACUGGUCAAGGUGUUGUAAGCAGUAGAGCAGCCUCCAUACUGCGAUCUGUUGAGACUUAUCCUUUGAUUGGACGAUUUGU